rnacentral:rRNA from 1 species
UACAGAGGGUGCGAGCGCUAAUCGGAAUUACUGGGCGUAAAGCGUGCGUAGACGGUUAUUUAAGUCGGGUGUGAAAGCCCCGGGCUCAACCUGGGAAUUGCAUUCGAGACUGAAUAGCUAGGGUACGGUAGAGGGAAGUGGAAUUUCCGGUGUAGCGGUGAAAUGCGUAGAUAUCGGAAGGAACAUCAGUGGCGAAAGCGACUUCCUGGACCAGUACCGACGUUCAGGCACGAAAGCGUGGGGAGCAAACAGG